UACGUAGGGUGCGAGCGUUGUCCGGAAUUAUUGGGCGUAAAGAGCUCGUAGGCGGUCUGUCGCGUCUGCUGUGAAAACCCGAGGCUCAACCUCGGGCCUGCAGUGGGUACGGGCAGACUAGAGUGCGGUAGGGGAGAAUGGAAUUCCUGGUGUAGCGGUGAAAUGCGCAGAUAUCAGGAGGAACACCGGUGGCGAAGGCGGGUCUCUGGGCCGUAACUGACGCUGAGGAGCGAAAGCGUGGGGAGCGAACAGG
rnacentral:rRNA from 1 species